GAUUAGAGUUUGAUCCUGGCUCAGGAUGAACGCUGGCGGCGUGCCUAAUACAUGCAAGUCGAGCGAAUGGAUUAAGAGCUUGCUCUUAUGAAGUUAGCGGCGGACGGGUGAGUAACACGUGGGUAACCUGCCCAUAAGACUGGGAUAACUCCGGGAAACCGGGGCUAAUACCGGAUAACAUUUUGAACCGCAUGGUUCGAAAUUGAAAGGCGGCUUCGGCUGUCACUUAUGGAUGGACCCGCGUCGCAUUAGCUAGUUGGUGAGGUAACGGCUCACCAAGGCAACGAUGCGUAGCCGACCUGAGAGGGUGAUCGGCCACACUGGGACUGAGACACGGCCCAGACUCCUACGGGAGGCAGCAGUAGGGAAUCUUCCGCAAUGGACGAAAGUCUGACGGAGCAACGCCGCGUGAGUGAUGAAGGCUUUCGGGUCGUAAAACUCUGUUGUUAGGGAAGAACAAGUGCUAGUUGAAUAAGCUGGCACCUUGACGGUACCUAACC
rnacentral:rRNA from 1 species